ACUUUGAGACGGCUGCAAGGAAAAGCGGUGUAAAGAAAAGGGAAAGGCUCAUCCCGAAUUCGGCAGCAUGAUGGUGGCAAGAGGGCAGGAGGUGGUGACAAGUCCGGAACUUGCUAGGGGUCUACAGUAGAGAACAGUUUCCACACUGAGGUAUCUUCUCACUGCUCCUCCAGUUUCCCUCCCCAGUGCUUAGCCUUCAGGUGGCCACUUGGCACUGCAUCCCAGGGUGUUCCACACCUAGGCAGACACAUCCAGAGCCCUUCACCUAAAGCAGAAUAAACCGGGUCUGCCUUCAGUAUGUUUUGUGUAUCCUACUUGUCCAUCUUUAAACUUGAGUGUGUCCCCUAUCAUCGGAGCAAAGUGAAGUCAAGAAUCAUGGAACCUAGGCUUCCACGUGGCAUUGACAAGGGCGACAAUGCCAGUCCAACCCCAAAUAUCCUCUCUCAGCAAGACUCCCAGGAGCUCAUUGGACCUGUUUACACCCAGUCCUUCUUACUGCUGCUGCUGCUGCUAAGUCACUUCAGUCGUAUCCAACUCUGUGUGACCCCAUAAAUGGCAGCCCACCAGGCUCCCCCAUCCCUGGGAUUCUCUAGGCAAGAACACUGGACUGGGUUGCAAUUUCCUUCUCCAAUGCAUGAAAGUGAAAAGUGAAAGGGAAGUCGCUCAGUCAUGUCCAACACUUCGUGACCCCAUGGACUGCAGCCUACCAGACUCCUCCAUCCAUGGGAUUUUCC
ensembl:lncRNA